ACAAGCGGAGGAGCAUGUGGUUAAUUCGAUGAUACGCGAGGAACCGUUACCUGGGCUCGAACGUAAGAUGACUGUAGGUGAAAGCUUACAUCUCUUCGGAGCAUUUUACGAGGUGCUGCAUGGUUGUCGUCAGCUCGUGCCGUGAGGUGUCGGGUUAAGUCCCAUAACGAGCGCAACCCCUACCUUUAGUUGCCAUCAGGUUAAGCUGGGGACUCUAAAGGAACUGCCUACGCAAGUAGUGAGGAAGCGGGGAUGACGUCAAAUCAGCACGGCCCUUACGUCCAGGGCUACACACGUGCUACAAUGGCCGAUACAGAGGGCAGCUACCUGGUGACAGGAUGCAAAUCUCCAAAGUCGGUCUCAGUUCGGAUCGGAGUCUGCAACCCGACUCCGUGAAGUUGGAUUCGCUAGUAAUCGCGCAUCAGCCAUGGCGCGGUGAAUACGUUCCCGGGCCUU
rnacentral:rRNA from 1 species